UACGUAGGGUGCAAGCGUUGUCCGGAAUUAUUGGGCGUAAAGAGCUCGUAGGCGGUCUGUCGCGUCGGCUGUGAAAACUCGGGGCUCAACCCCGAGCCUGCAGUCGAUACGGGCAGACUAGAGUGCUGUAGGGGAGACUGGAAUUCCUGGUGUAGCGGUGAAAUGCGCAGAUAUCAGGAGGAACACCGGUGGCGAAGGCGGAGCUCUGGGCCUUACCUGACGCUGAGGAGCGAAAGCAUGGGGAGCAAACAGG
rnacentral:rRNA from 1 species